GUGCAGCAGGCGGAAUUUUGACAAUGGGGAAACCCUGAUCGAGCGACGCCGCGUGGAGGAUGAAGGUCUUCGGAUUGUAAACUCCUGUCAUUGGGGAACAAGGUGCAUACGUUAACUGCGUGUGUAUUGAUAGUACCCGAAGAGGAAGGGACGGCUAACUCUGUGCCAGCAGCCGCGGUAAUACAGAGGUCCCAAGCGUUGUUCGGAUUCAUUGGGCGUAAAGGGUGCGUAGGCGGCGCGGUAAGUCGGGUGUGAAAUCUCGGAGCUUAACUCCGAAACUGCAUUCGAUACUGCCGUGCUUGAGGACUGGAGAGGAGACUGGAAUUUACGGUGUAGCGGUGAAAUGCGUAGAUAUCGUAAGGAAGACCAGUGGCGAAGGCGGGUCUCUGGACAGUUCCUGACGCUGAGGCACGAAGGCCAGGGGAGCAAACGGGAUUAGAUACCCCCGUAGU
rnacentral:rRNA from 1 species